UACAGAGGGUGCGAGCGUUGUCCGGAAUCACUGGGCGUAAAGAGCGCGUAGGCGGCGCGGUAAGCGUGCGGUGAAAGCCCGGGGCUCAACCCCGGGUCGGCCGUGCGGACUGCCGGGCUGGAGCACUGUAGAGGCAGGUGGAAUUCCGGGUGUAGCGGUGGAAUGCGUAGAGAUCCGGAAGAACACCGGUGGCGAAGGCGGCCUGCUGGGCAGUAGCUGACGCUGAAGCGCGACAGCGUGGGGAGCAAACAGG
rnacentral:rRNA from 1 species